rnacentral:lncRNA from 1 species
CCCUCAAUACCGUGAAGAUUUUGGUGCCCAUCUUCUUCAAAGUCAAAAAAUACCAUUGGAGCACGGUGUGCUGCAUUAUCACGAAUUUAAAAGGAAGUUUGCUCUUGGUGGAAGUCUUCAGUACACCAUCCAUUGAAGGUUAGUCUCAUUUAGUCCGUGUUCUUGGAGAUUUCUCCUCCGGGGGUUCUCCCCCCCCCCCCCCACCGAAGCCUUGAAGCUUUUGUGGUCGGCCCCUACGAUCACAAAGGUCUUGCUCGUUGUAAUCUCUCGGAAAGCUCGAAGUUCAAGGGGAAGUCUUGAGUACCCUUCGUGGGCAUUGCCGUGAAAUCCAAAGAAGCUCCAUCUGUGUCAAAGGAAGUUGGCGGACUGCACUCCAUUGAAGAUUCUCAAGAAGGGUGCGUAUAAGAAGGUUGCGGUGCCUUGGUGGAAGUCUUGAGUACACCAUCAUCAACUUUACUUUCAAAAUCAAAGCUCUUCAUUCACGUAAGUUCUCCAGCUCCAUCCUCCUACCGGCGGUUCUUGUGGAAAUCUUGAGUACACACCACCGUGAAUCUAUCCUCCUCAUCCUUUUGGUGGGCUGCCGGAGAGAAAAGCAAAGAAAAAUUUCACAUUUGCGUCCAUUGGUGAAAGGUGCACGAAUCCUUGCUAUUCUUGUGUUUCUUCUUCCAUUUGGUGCUUGUUGUGUGUUCUCUUUGUUCUUGUGCCUUGAGUUUGCGUUCUUGUGGGUUUUGGCCGGAAGUUUUACUUGUGAUUAUUUUUCCGGUGAUUAAAGUUUUCAGCUUGUCCGUUAGUGUGAAAAUACGUGAUUUACUGUUAGUUUGCUGAACUUUUGCUUGCUGUUUGCUGUUAUAUUCCUGUUUCGUUCUUGUUCCUUUCUUUUUCUGCGUGAUUUAUCCGUUUGGUUCUUCGGUUUGGAGCUUUUCUCUGGCUGGCUGAAACAUCUUGUGUGCUUCCCUGCUGCCGAAAAUUCUCCCCCUCCGUUUGAGCCAUUUGGUUUUUGCGCUGGAAUUGAAAUUUGGGAGGCGUAUUAAUUACAGCAAAUAUUCCAUCUCUGAUUUACGUGCAUGCAUGCAUUCAAAUUUCAAAUUUAGAAACUUCAACAUGCACUAUUCCAUCUUGACUUAAUCGACAUUAUUUGGGUUGCGUGGGGAACAUAGAGCCGCUACUUUAGUUGGAAAGUCAUCUACUUUACUAAGUGGGGGACAUAAGGGAGGUGGGUUUUAAUGUGUUGUUUGAAUUUUGCUUCCCAAGACGUCACUUUCCUCUGCAUGGACCGAUUUUAUUGACUUAGUGCUCUGCUACCUAUUGUUUGUCAUCAGAAUUCCAUUAACCGAGCAUAAGUGCUUGCCUUGUUUUCUUAAAGUUCUGAUUCGUGGUGGCUAUUGUGUUGCUGGUUCUUCCCAUUUCGUGUUUCUUUCCGGUGUGUUCUCCGGUUGUUUCAUUGGUUUUGGUGUGUUUUCGGCCUGCUGUGCACCUUCGUGUACCUCCUUGUUGACGGAAACGCCCCCAUUUCCGAUUGAAACUUUGGAUUAUCACCGGUUUGGAGCCUGGAACUGAUCGGAACUGGAAACUCCUUGGCCGGACUAUCUCCCCUUCCGAUUGACACCUUCUCUUCUUGCCGGAAUAUUGCUCGAAAUUGAAAAGAUGUUGGAACACUAUUCCCUCUUUGCUUUACGUGCAUGAUUCAAAUUUCAAAUUUACUUCAACGUGCACUAUUCCCUAUUGACUAAACAGAUACUUUUUGGAUUCAGUAGGGAACACAUAGCCGCUAAUUUAAUUGAAAAGUGAGCUACUUUACUUAGUGGGGGACAUAAGGGGGGUUGGGUGUAACGUGUUGGUUGAACUUACUCCCUAGGCGUCACUUUCCUCUAUGCAUGACCGAGUUUUAUUAAUUUAGAGCUCAUAUACUGCCUUAGUCAAUUCUGAGUGCUUAGUUGGGACAUAAGUGUGGAUACUUUAUUGAUUGCAUAAAAAUCGUGCAUUAUUCUAUUUUAUACCUUGGGCGCCACUUUUCUUUGUCUUGUCUUUAAUUUAUGAAGGUAUACUUGUGCUUAGUGGGGACUAGUGGACGACUAAUUGUCUUCAAGACUACCACUAGACGAGAAAUACUUAGUAUUAAUGGGAAUAAAUAGGGUGUGCAUUAAUUUAAGUGAUCUCAUCUUUACCGAGCCCUAGGUUAACUUUCCUUAAGUGUAUGACAUCUUAAUUGAGUUAUUUUAAUUACACAUACACUUGACCGAACCGUAC